rnacentral:rRNA from 1 species
UACGGAGGGGGCAAGCGUUGUCCGGAAUUACUGGGCGUAAAGCGCGCGCAGGCGGUUCCUUAAGUCUGAUGUGAAAGCCCACGGCUCAACUGUGGAGGGUCAUUGGAAACUGGGUAACUUGAGUACAGAAGAGGAGAGUGGAAUUCCACGUGUAGCGGUGAAAUGCGUAGAUAUGUGGAGGAACAACAGUGGCGAAGGCGACUCUCUGGUCUGUAACUGACGCUGAGGCGCGAAAGCGUGGGGAGCGAACAGG